rnacentral:tRNA from 1 species
GCAGAGAUACCCAAGAGGCUUAAGGGGCCGCAUUGGAAAUGCGGUAGGCGGGUAACUCCCGUGCAAGGGUUCAAAUCCCUUUCUCUGCGCCA